UACGUAGGGUGCGAGCGUUAAUCGGAAUUACUGGGCGUAAAGCGUGCGCAGGUGGUUUGUUAAGUCAGAUGUGAAAGCCCCGAGCUUAACUUGGGAACUGCGUUUGAAACUGGCAAGCUAGAGUCUGUCAGAGGGGGGUAGAAUUCCACGUGUAGCAGUGAAAUGCGUAGAGAUGUGGAGGAAUACCAAUGGCGAAGGCAGCCCCCUGGGAUAAGACUGACGCUCAUGCACGAAAGCGUGGGGAGCAAACAGGAUUAGAUACCCUGGUAGUCCACGCCCUAAACGAUGUCAACUGGUUGUUGGGCAACUUGAUUGUUCAGUAACGAAGCUAACGCGAGAAGUUGACCGCCUGGGGAGUACGGUCGCAAGAUUAAAACUCAAAGGAAUUGACGGGGACCCGCACAAGCGGUGGAUGAUGUGGAUUAAUUCGAUGCAACGCGAAAAACCUUACCUACCCUUGACAUGUACGGAAGUCUGCUGAGAGGUGGAUGUGCCUGAAAGGGAACCGUAACACAGGUGCUGCAUGGCUGUCGUCAGCUCGUGUCGUGAGAUGUUGGGUUAAGUCCCGCAACGAGCGCAACCCUUGCUAUUAAUUGCCAUCAUUAAGUUGGGCACUUUAAUAGGGCUGCUGGUGAUAAACCGGAGGAAGGUGGGGAUGACGUCAAGUCCUCAUGGCCCUUAUGGGUAGGGCUUCACACGUCAUACAAUGGCCGGUACAGAGGGAUGCCAACCCGCGAGGGGGAGCCAAUCUCAGAAAGCCGGUCGUAGUCCGGAUUGUUCUCUGCAACUCGAGAGCAUGAAGUCGGAAUCGCUAGUAAUCGCGGAUCAGCAUGUCGCGGUGAAUACGUUCCCGGGUCU
rnacentral:rRNA from 1 species